UGGGGUGUUGUUCAGUGGUGGAGUGUUUGCCUAGCAUGCAUAAGAUCCUAGGUUAAACCCCCAGCACCACAA
rnacentral:tRNA from 1 species